rnacentral:rRNA from 1 species
UACGGAGGAUGCGAGCGUUAUCCGGAUUUAUUGGGUUUAAAGGGUGCGUAGGCGGCAUUAUAAGUUAGUGGUAAAAUAUUGGGCUUCACCUCACUACGCCAUUAAUACUGUAGAGCUAGAGAACAGACGAGGUAGGCGGAAUAAGUUAAGUAGCGGUGAAAUGCAUAGAUAUAACUUAGAACACCGAUAGCGAAGGCAGCUUACCAGACUGAGUCUGACGCUGAUGCACGAGGAGCAUGGGUAGCGAACAGG